AGCCUGAUCCAGCCAUGCCGCGUGUGUGAAGAAGGCCUUCGGGUUGUAAAGCACUUUCAGCGAGGAAGAACGCCUUGGGAUUAAUACUCCCGAGGAAAGACAUCACUCGCAGAAGAAGCACCGGCUAACUCCGUGCCAGCAGCCGCGGUAAUACGGAGGGUGCAAGCGUUAAUCGGAAUUACUGGGCGUAAAGCGCGCGUAGGUGGCUAAGUCAGCCAGGUGUGAAAGCCCCGGGCUCAACCUGGGAACGGCAUCUGGAACUGCUUGGCUAGAGUGCAGGAGAGGAAGGUAGAAUUCCCGGUGUAGCGGUGAAAUGCGUAGAGAUCGGGAGGAAUACCAGUGGCGAAGGCGGCCUUCUGGACUGACACUGACACUGAGGUGCGAAAGCGUGGGUAGCAAACAGGAUUAGAUACCCUGGUAGUCCACGCCGUAAACGAUGUCAACUAGCCGUUGGGUCCCUUGAGGACUUAGUGGCGCAGCUAACGCAAUAAGUUGACCGCCUGGGGAGUACGGCCGCAAGGUUAAAACUCAAAUG
rnacentral:rRNA from 1 species